UGCGUAGGUGGUUGAAUAAGUUAGGUGUGAAAGUCCCGGGCUUAACCUGGGGAUUGCGCCUGAUACUGUUUAGCUAGAGUACUGUAGAGGAAGGUGGAAUUUCCGGUGUAGCGGUGAAAUGCGUAGAUAUCGGAAGGAACAUCAGUGGCGAAGGCGACUUUCUGGACAGAUACUGACACUGAGGCACGAAAGCGUGGGGAGCAAACA
rnacentral:rRNA from 1 species